rnacentral:lncRNA from 1 species
GAGCAUCUACUGCUAAUGAUGCAGAUGCCCAGGGAGCCAAGGCAAUCAGAUUUGAUUGUGAGGUUCCAGGUUCCUUUGAAGAACCAAACAUGGGUCACUGACUUAUGGAUUUUUUCUCCAGUGCUCACUGAGACGCAUUCAUUCUGCUUCAAAAUGGCAUCAGUCACGGGAAGGUUAAAGGACUCUUCCAGGCUUCACAGGGCAGCCUUUUAUUUCUGCUCCUGGGAGGUAGGGAUUGGAUGUGGCCCAGGAAGACUACUUUGCCUCAGGUUUUCUCUCAAGAGGCCUCUAAGCAGUCCUUCAGUGAACUCCACCCCAAGGCUGAAACCCAACGUCUUCCCUCAGGAGCUCGAGGCUCUUGGAAAGAAGAUAAAAUCUAAGAGUGAUAACCUUGGGGAUAGCCCAGGCCCAAAAUGCUCAUCCUCCAGGCCUGAGUCAGAGGCCUUAGCUGAAUAUUCACUCAACAUCUGCUGUAUCUGUAGAGAGUCAUGAAACUUAGGAGUUUGGAGAAUGUGAACAAGUCCA